rnacentral:rRNA from 1 species
AUGGAACCAAUUCACCAGAAAGGAUGUAUGGAAAGGGAUCGAAAGGCUUACACGGUUCACGGCUACAGCAAACAACCUCACAGGGAUCAUUCCUUGCAGCACAUUUCCCAAGGGGUGCAAGCUGCAGUCUUUGGAUAUCUCCAGCAACCAAUUGUCUGGCAGUUUCCCAAAUUUUGCACAAGCUUGAAAUUCCUGUCCCUAUGGGACAAUAGCUUUGGUUCGAUUGCGGGACUCAAAGAGCUGGGUCUCUCGAGCAACCAGUUCCAUCACAAGAUACCACUUGAGCUGAUGAACUGCACCAACCUAAAAAAUUUGGAGAUCAGUCGCAAUACCUUUGGAGGGGAGGUGCAACAAGUCCUUGGAAAAAUAACCAGCCUGAAGAGCCUUGUGCUUCAAGGGAAUAAUUACAGUGGGGGCAUUAUCUCCUCUGGCAUUCUACAGUUGCCAAACCUCAUCUGUCUUGACCUCGGCUUUAACAAAUUCUCCGGUAGCCUAAUGAAAUUGCUAGCAUGA